rnacentral:rRNA from 1 species
GCUGGGAGAGAAAAAGCGUCAUUCGAUGCGAAGCAUCGGAUUACGCGUUUUCAAGUAAGACUAACACCAAGGUGGAGCGAAAACCGAGAGUAAAAACUUUUCUAGUGGCGGACGGGUGAGUAACACGUGAAGAACCUGCCUUACAGAGGGGACAACAGCUGGAAACGGCUGCUAAUACCGCAUAACACCAUUUUGGGGCAUCCCGAGAUGGUACAAAGGAGCAAUCCGCUGUAAGAUGGCUUCGCGUCCGAUUAGAC